AGACAGCAGCAGCCGCGGUAAUACGUAGGUGGCAAGCGUUGUCCGGAAUUAUUGGGCGUAAAGGGCUCGCAGGCGGUUUCUUAAGUCUGAUGUGAAAGCCCCCGGCUCAACCGGGGAGGGUCAUUGGAAACUGGGAAACUUGAGUGCAGAAGAGGAGAGUGGAAUUCCACGUGUAGCGGUGAAAUGCGUAGAGAUGUGGAGGAACACCAGUGGCGAAGGCGACUCUCUGGUCUGUAACUGACGCUGAGGAGCGAAAGCGUGGGGAGCGAACAAGAUUAGAUACCCCUGUAGUCCCUGUCUCUUAUAC
rnacentral:rRNA from 1 species